GACGAACGCUGGCGGCGUGCUUAACACAUGCAAGUCGAACGGAAAGGCCCCUUUGGGGGUACUCGAGUGGCGAACGGGUGAGUAGCACGUGAGUAACCUGCCCUUGACUUCGGGAUAACUUCAGGAAACUGGGGCUAAUACCGGAUAGGAAUCCUUGCUGCAUGGUGGGGGUUGGAAAGCUUCGGCGGUUUUGGAUGGACUCGCGGCUUAUCAGCUUGUUGGUGGGGUAGUGGCUUACCAAGGCUUUGACGGGUAGCCGGCCUGAGAGGGCGACCGGCCACAUUGGGACUGAGAUACGGCCCAGACUCCUACGGGAGGCAGCAGUGGGGAAUAUUGCACAAUGGGCGGAAGCCUGAUGCAGCAACGCCGCGUGCGGGAUGACGGCCUUCGGGUUGUAAACCGCUUUCAGCAGGGGCGAAGCUUGUGGUGACGGUACCUGCAGAAGAAGCACCGGCUAACUACGUG
rnacentral:rRNA from 1 species